rnacentral:misc_RNA from 1 species
CCCUGGCUUGUUUCGUCGGUGGCUGCAGGAGCAGCCGGCGGCGUCGGCGGCGACUGUGGUAGUGGCACGAGCGUCGCGCGCGUCGUGGGGGUGCCUUCCUCUUCCCCACUACCCUUUCUGCUUUCUCACCCUGCUGCUUCGGCUUUGGAGUGACGCCGCGAUGUCGACUAGUCGCACACGUCGUCCGCUGCCUCCGCUCCGUGGACGCUGCACAGACGCCGGUCGCGUGCCGGUCUGCUCUUGACUCAGUGAGCGGUUCCCGCCAGCGGCUCACCGAGCCCACCUGCGCAGCGCGCGUGCACGGCGAGGCAAAAGCCGAGGCCUCUUAGAACUGCUUGCGCCAAGACAUUUCUGAAAGACAGACAGAGACACCCCAGCCCAGCUCCGGCAUGAAAGUCAGCAUCACCUGUCCACCGGCUACGAUGACGACAGUGACUCAACCGCGGUUCAACGCCCCUUUGGCUUGACGUAGCAGCGGAGCCGCCUGUCGAGGCAACCCCCACACCGCUCGCCGCGGCCUCGAUCCGAGGACUACGAGGCUGGGGCGUUCCUGCUCCGAGAACGUUGUGUGUGUUGGCAAUUUGCUUCUGUGUGCGCGCGGAUCCCGCUUCGCGGGAGCCCCCCGUGCAAGGCGUCAAGAUUGCGUCCUACCCUGCAUCCGUCGUGUCGGCCGCGUUCCCGUUCGCGGGCUUCGACUAUCGCUUUCCGUACGGAGCUCUGCCCCCGCCGGCGACGCCGAGGGAUUCGGGCGCACCGCACGGCAUCCCGUUGUCCCUUUUGGACCGUGGCCCCCUCGGCGACCUGGGUGCGCGGUCGUCUAUCCCGCCGACCUCCGUCGGAGGAGGCCCCUCGCCGCUCCGUCCAGCGCCGCUCACGUCGGCACCUUCUUCGUCGUCGUCCUCUUCGUCGUCCGCCGACUCGCACGUCAAGCGUCCCAUGAACGCCUUCAUGGUGUGGUCGCGUGCCCAGCGACGCAAGAUCGCGCUGGAGAACCCCAAGAUGCACAACUCUGAGAUCUCCAAGCGGCUGGGCACCGAGUGGAAGCACCUGUCCGAGUCCGACAAGCGGCCCUUCAUUGAGGAGGCCAAGCGACUCAGGGCACUGCACAUGAAGGAGCACCCGGACUAUAAGUACAAGCCGCGCCGGAAGCCUAAGAGCAUGCUGAAGAAGGACGCACACCACCACCGUUUUCCCUUUGCCCUGCCGUACAUCCCGGGUCCAGGAGACUACCUCGGCCUGGCCGCGGGCCUGCCGCGCUCUCUCUUCUCACCGCAUCCGCGGAUCGCCAUUCCGUUUCCGCAGCAUCCGGCCGCCAUGGCCUCGCUGCAGCAGCAUCAGCAGCCGUCGCCAGCUCCGUCACCGUCGCAGGCGCGGUCCACCUCUCCGAGGUCCUGCCACACGGAAGAGAACAACAACCGGCCGUCAUCGUGCGAUGAUGUCGUCAUCGGCUCCGGUGGCCGCAAGCUGAGUUCUCCGUCCUCGCUGUUGGCGACCGCCUCCUCGUCGUCGCCCCCCGCAUCUUCGGCGUCUACAACCCCGACGUCGGACCCCGCGGCGCCCCCCGCGUUCAAGGCGUUCCUGCCGCCCUCGUACGCGUCGCCGUACGUCCCAACGACGUCGUCAGCCGCCGUAGCCGCUGCCGCAGCGUCGUUCUACUCGGCAGCUGGACUGUCAUACCUGAUGCCGUGCGGCUGCGGCUCGCCGUACGCCGGAGGCGCGGCCGACCCCAACUGUCGGCAACACCUGGGGCCCGCGCCGCCAGUUCCGCCCGUGUCGACGUCGUCUUCGCUGUUCGCGUUCAAUCCGUUCCUCAAGUCGGUCGAGUCCGGUCUGCCUCCGGGCUACGCGGGACACGCGGCCAUGGCUGCGGCGGCUGCCGCCGCGGCUGCAGCGGGCUCCCUGCUCGACGAUCCGCAGUCCAUGUCUCCGUCGGCGGCCGCCCACCUGCUCGGCCUCUACUCGUCACUGGCCAGGCCCAAACCGCACGACGCCCGGCUUGAGGCCUAGCGGUUGCCACACAGCGACCGCGCUGCCUGCAAGUCAGCGCUGAAACAGCAGCGGCAUCGUCACGGCGACAGAGUCCCGGAUGUGCCACAGCCACGCGACGGACACGGUGAAAAAGAGACAGUGAACACGUGCACAUAGUGCUUCACAUAAGUGUGCGACAUGGUGGUGCGCGCGUUUUGUUUUACGUUAUCGUUCACAUUCCACCUUCGAGACGCGAAAUCCGCGACGAGGCUUGGAUCAAGGGAGCGCUGAGUACCGACGCACUGAGUCAAGUCAAAGCCGUGUUUUAGGGUCGGCAAGCCUGUACAGAACUUCUUAGGAUAGGGGGUAUAGGGAGCGGUGUGGCCCGUAUGCGAUCAUGCGCGCAUGCAUCGUGUUUUGCCAGGGCAGUGUUUCACGCAAUGAAUUGUUUCAGCUCCGCCUGGAAGCAGCGGCUAAUUUAAGAUCACUGUCACGCGUACGGAACAAUGAGAUGAGCCGGUUUUUCGAGAUACUUGAAACUCGUGCCGUCUGCAUAAACCGAGGCGAUGUGCUUGACAGUGGCCAGUGGUGGCUCAAGCCGAGAAAAAAAAAGCAAGAAAGAAAAAGUACAUGUCUCUAUUACUUAGUGUCCUCCUAACUUUUUUUUUUCUUCUUUUUGGCAAAGACGGCGAAAUGCGAUUCAAUACGUGGAAGUUUGUCAGUGCUCAUUGUGCUGUAGCGUCUCGCCCGAUUUACUGUCCGGCAAUGCAGAGGUUCUACAUUGGGAAUUGGGAAUUUUCGUUCGAUAUAUAUGAUAGAGAAACUUCAAAGGAAAUGCGUUCGGAUGCGUGUCGUGGACAACGCUAAAGUGUGUUGCGGUUCAGUUUUGCUGUGUAAACACGAGUGCGCGAAUGUUACAUGUGUUCAUUUCAUUUAAUAUUUAUUUGUCGAACAUCGUAUUGCUCUUAUCAUUGAGCAUUCCCGAGAGGUAAUCAUUCUUGACUCACGGGCUCGUUGCAGUCAUUCUCCAGCGCACAAGUUUUACGUGUGCACAGAGCCAACGUUGCAUCCGCAUGCCAACAUCAAAACGUUUCAAGCCAGAAGUGUAGCGUGGUCGGGAUUAUUAAGCCACACAGCGCGCCUUCGAGUCGGAGGCCACCUUUCUAGUCAGCACUUAGCGGCACUCAAUCAAAGCCCACCUGUAGGGUUUGGAAAUGUGUGUUUGUUUUUUAGUUAUCAUAAUCUUUUGCUCGCCUCACGUAUACACCGGCUUUCAUGUCAGUGCGUGUGGAUGCAAUUAAAGAAGAUUGGGAGAAGUCAAGUUUAGUGUCGUGGAAGAGAGCACACGACUUACGCUAACGCAAGCUUGACAGAAUUCAAAACGCCACCGCGCCUACAUUCGGUUUUGCGGAGUAAGCGAUGCCCAUCUGCGAACUGUAAAGGCGCGCCUAAUGUUACAAUAGGCUAUGCACGACAGCCGAGCAGCGGCAAAGGACAAUCGGAACAUAGCGAGACUUGUUCCCACACAAGUGAGCGGCAAUGUCGCGGUAAAUUCUUUCAAAAAGUGUGUGACUCAAACCGCUGGCUAUGGCACAAAGCCUAUCGCAAUAGUGCAUAUAGUAUAGUGAGCGUUUCUUUAUCUCUUCAACAUAGGUGUCAAUUUCACACAUUGGGCGGUAUGAUCUGCCUGGCACUUUUUACAAUAGCACACGUGUGAUGUCGCAAAAGAAAAAAAAACACUUAGCGAGUAGCUUUAACGAGAGCUUUUCGCAUGAUUUAUUGAGCAGAUGCAAAAAGGCUUGCAGACCGCUGACAUUGCGCCAGCUUUAUCUCGUGUAGCGCACAAUGCCGUUAACCACUCAAAAACUGUCGAUUGUUAGAUCAAUCGCAGUUUAUUGAAAGCGCUUACGUUGAAACCUGGAACUCCGAGCCAUGACUUUAAGUGGAGGGAAGCGAGUGAUAUGGUCAUAACAUAUCCUUUCAGAUAUUUCUAGUAACUCUGAAAAAAAGAAACUAGCAUACUGUGAAUGUGGAUUGUUUAACUCCUGUGAAAAAAGCGAUGGAGCCGCUCACCACAUUUACAAGAUUGCUGUGUACGACGCAAUAAAUAAUGGGCUGAAUGACCGCUCGUGCGGAAGUUUAGUCUUGCCCGUAC